rnacentral:rRNA from 1 species
ACGCACGCUGGCGGCGUGCUUCACCCAUGCAAGUCGCACGGAAAGGCCCUGCUUUUGUGGGGUGCUCGAGUGGCGAACGGGUGAGUAACACGUGAGUAACCUGCCCUUGACUUUGGGAUAACUUCAGGAAACUGGGGCUAAUACCGGAUAGGAGCUCCUGCUGCAUGGUGGGGGUUGGAAAGUUUCGGCGGUUGGGGAUGGACUCGCGGCUUAUCAGCUUGUUGGUGGGGUAGUGGCUUACCAAGGCUUUGACGGGUAGCCGGCCUGAGAGGGUGACCGGCCACAUUGGGACUGAGAUACGGCCCAGACUCCUACGGGAGGCAGCAGUGGGGAAUAUUGCACAAUGGGCGGAAGCCUGAUGCAGCAACGCCGCGUGCGGGAUGAAGGCCUUCGGGUUGUAAACCGCUUUCGCCUGUGACGAAGCGUGAGUGACGGUAAUGGGUAAAGAAGCACCGGCUAACUACGUG